UACUCAGCAGACUAUCCAAGGCUUCAUGUUCAUCAAAGAACUACCUGUUGAACUAGCUGGAGGUGGCUUCUGAAUACAGGGUGACAUAAUGAUUCAAGAGGCACUCACUCACUGUCUGGUAUCAUUGGGCAAAGGCAACAUUCCAGUGGAAAACACUGAAACAUUUCCACUGCAAAGGUAUAUCUGCCAUGGUAUUUCUGGUUUUAUGAUAUGAAUUGGUAACUGACUUCUGCUCUGUCUUUUGGAAGACACUAUAGUACAAAAGUAGAGCCAACUUGUCAAGUGCAGAACUCAUGGAAAAGGCUUCUCCAUCCAGCAUGUGCCAACUAUCUUGUUCUUCCCAGAAGAGAAAAUGA
rnacentral:lncRNA from 1 species